rnacentral:rRNA from 1 species
AUUGAACGCUGGCGGCAGGCCUAACACAUGCAAGUCGAGCGGAGCGACGGACGGGUGAGUAAUGACUAGGAAGCUGCCUGGUAGUGGGGGAUAAAUUCCGGAAAGGGACGCUAAUUCCGAAUGCUAUCAGAUGAGCCUAGGUCGGAUUGGGUAGUUGGUUGGGUAAAGGAUUACCAAGGCGACGAUCCAUACCUGGUCGGAGAGGAUGAUCAGCCACACUGGCACUGAGACACGGCCCAGACUCCUACGGGAGGCAGCAGUGGGGAAUAUUGGACAAGGGGCGCAAGCCUGAUGCAGCCAUGCCGCGUGUGUGAAGAAGGCCUUAGGAUUGUAAAGCACUUUAAGCGGGGAGGCGUUACCGGCAGAAGAAGCACCGGCUAACUCCGUGCCAGCCGCCGCGGUAAUUC